rnacentral:lncRNA from 1 species
UAGAAAUGAGUUUUUUCAACUCUUUUAUGCUAUUAAGUUUGCUUCUUUUUGUUGUGGCUCCGGUUCAUGGCUUAAAUUUAAGGAAGCUUGAUGAGACCACUGUUCCUGGACCGACUGAAGAGAAGUGCUCGCCAUGUAAUCCAAGUCCUCCACCACCGUCACUUCCACCAGUAGUAUAUCCCUCACCACCACCACCAUCACCACCUCCACCAUCACCAGUAUUAUACCCCCCACCACCACCUGCACCAGUGCUGCCACCACCGACUCCAAAGAAGCCGCCAUCAGGUUACAACUGCCCUCCACCUCCAGCCCCAUCAAAAUAUGAUCUUUACAUAACUGGUCCACCAGGGGAA